AAGCAUCCGGAGAAAAUGGAGAGAUGGAAGAAAGCUCUUUCGGACGCCGGUAACUUGAUCGGGUGGACUUUGAAUGAUGGGUAAGUAGAAAGGGUUCCAUCUUUUGUAUAUGAAACUAUUCUUUACGAGUAUGGACCGAUCGGA